UACGGAGGGUGCAAGCGUUAUCCGGAUUCACUGGGUUUAAAGGGUGCGUAGGUGGGCAGGUAAGUCAGUGGUGAAAUCUCCGGGCUUAACCCGGAAACUGCCGUUGAUACUAUCUGUCUUGAAUGUUGUGGAGGUGAGCGGAAUAUGUCAUGUAGCGGUGAAAUGCUUAGAUAUGACAUAGAACACCAAUUGCGAAGGCAGCUCGCUACACAAUUAUUGACUCUGAGGCACGAAAGCGUGGGGAUCAAACAGG
rnacentral:rRNA from 1 species